AGUAUUCCCUAUCAAGUACGAAAUGUAACGUAAUGCAGUGCAUGUGACGCAGCCACGCCCGCCCCUGGGGGCAUAAAAGACUACUGACACAAACAUCGUCAGCAUUUUCCUUUUCACCGACCUGAAGCAAGGAGAGAAGUCGAUGAACAGAUAAGUGACACACUUAGAUCUGAUUUAUAUCUCAUUUAUCGCUUGUGUAUUACACUUAUUGCUGUUAUUACGUGAAAAAGUAAUUUUACUUCACGUUUUGUGCACUCAGCUGUGGUUGUUCAUGCAAGUCCCUCAGCGGCCUUGCGCCUCGCAUGAAGCUGGCAGCUCCGCUACUCCUUCCCCGGGAUCGAACACCUUAAGUCGGCUGCUUGUGCUGUCUCUUAAGCUGCUAGCUUCGGUUGAAGCUUAAAAAUAAAAAUGUGUUCCUUAUAAUGAAAAGGAUACUAAAAUAAUGGUACAACAAAUAUGCUGUGUUCUGUUGAUGACGACCUUCUCAUGUAUGCUGAGUGAUUCACAUGUACUGAAGAAGAGCCACUGUCUGGCAGGUUCUGUCACAUAUAUACAAAUCUGACAAACUACUGAGACCAUGCACAUUUUAGUAUAAUGAAUUUAGAAGAAUUAACAAGCACGGUUACUUAUUUUCUGUUAAUUAUAAAGUUUAGGAGUACAGCUACCUAUGGGUCUGCUUCCAAUGUAGAAGGUUCUUUUCCAGACAUUCUUAAUCUCAUUAAGGCUUGCAUGUUCCUUUUCAAAAUCUUCUAUAGGCCGGGUGCCAUCUGCAUGACAAAGAGUGAAAGCUGCUUCUUUCAUUUCUGGAUUAUCCCACAAGGCUUCUUUAGCCUUUAGAAUGAUAUCGUUGUACCCAGCAGUCUCUUGCAUCAGAAGUCUGGGAGACUCUUCUUUAUGAUGACCCUGAUAUACUAACCCCCCCUCCCCCCAACCCUGUUUUUUUGUUCAUUUGUUCCACUCCAUAGGUCUAACUAAUCUUUAGUACUUUUUUUCUUCCUUUUUUAAAGGACGUUGUUUCUUUUUAAUUGGUAGACUGGCUGUGUAGAGCCUUUUUAAAUUCUGCAAAGACACUAGCUACAUCUGUAAAAUAUCUGUGAGGGGGUAGUUUACAACAAUGUAGGUUAGUUAUGGCAAACGUUGUUGUUGGCAAGGAGCAUGCAGAGCUGAAAAACCAAGUCGAUUGUCGUCUUAAGUUAGCUACCACAAAAUGCUUGUGCUAUGAAUUUAAUUAAAAACAGUUUUGCAACAGAACUGCAAACAAUACUAAUAACUUGAAAUGAGGGCACAAUUAAAUUUCUAGAAAUGUUAAAUAUCGUUUGAAAUGCCUUCUUUUAAUUCGUUCUUCAGCUGAUCGUACUGAUCAUUGUAAUCUUCCAUAUUCCACUGAAAAAAAAAGGUAUGUAAUUACUAAUUAGCUAAAAAGGCCAAUACAUAUGGAAGCCCAUUUCCGCCACACAAAAAAAGAAAUAUAUCUUAAAAUAACAUUAUAAGUUCGACAUACUGUCUCAUCUCGUUAUUUUGACUUACUAUCUCACAAUUAUGACUUGCAAUUACAUACAAUAAUUAAGAUUAUUGUUGGAAAAAUAAAACUCAAAAACACAAUUUUUAUUUUUUUAAAAAUGUAUUUUUGUACAGUUAAAUCUCUUUUUUUUUUGUAUUCAAAGACUUCAUUUAUACCAUCUUAGGUUUUGGUUGUUUCAAUUCAUAAACACACCCUAUUAUGUACAGUGUUAGAAAUAAAACGUUUUCAAAGUUCAAACUCCUUUUAAUAAUAAAAUGUAUUUUGUAAUAUUAA